rnacentral:lncRNA from 1 species
GAGUGAGAGGGUAGUCAGGUGGGAAUGAAGAAGCUCCCCGUCCUAUUCCCACAAAUGGCCCCAAAGAGCCUUUGAAGUCUCAGUCAUCAGGCAGAUGAGGAUUUUAAAUGCUUCGCCUACAACCUCAAUUGUUGUGGAGCCAAAGAUGCAACAGCUUUGAAGAAUAGAAGAAUUACUCUAUAUUUGUCAGGAUCUACGUGGCAAACAAGCGCCACUUGGCUUACAUUACUUGCCUGGCUUGGAUCCCAUGGAAUGGAGGAGCAUUGGAACCAAGAGGAAAAAAAUUAAAGUGCUUUGGGACAGCGAGCCAAACUCUUACAUAGUAUUUGAAAUGGUGUGGCAAACAUGAAAUUAUUUUAGGCUCAAGAUUGGUGCUAGUUUUUUACCCUCUUUUUGAAAAAAUAGUAAAAUGCACAUAAAGGGCCCUGCCAGAGGUUUAGCUCAUAAAAUCUGCCAAUCAUUGGAUGUGCUAAUUGGUGUAGCAAUCCAGUGGUGGCCUGGAUUAGGACUCAAAAACUGACCCUUACCACCCUUGGUGUCCUGCAGCAAAGACAGCCUAAAUCGAAAAGACUGAUGGAAGUAUAUCAAAUUACGAAUUUCUCUAUCCCUGAAAAAUGCCUGCAAUUUCUGUUUCUCCAUCACUCCAGAAAUACUCAAAACAGCAAAAAUUAAAUACAUAUGAAGUGAACACAAAAGACCUCCACAGAAAAAUCAGUGGCUCAUCUGUUGACGCUAUUGCUCAUUGCUCGGCUGGCCAGUCAUCUGGGCUAAGUUUUGACUUUGGGCCAGUGCUUCAAAAUCAGCAACCUUUCAGCCAAAAGACUGUGGAAUGCAGCCA